GCCCGUGUAGCUCAGCUGGUAGAGCAUUUCCAUGGUAAGGAAAAGGUCGCCGGUUCAAAUCCGGCCGCGGGCU
rnacentral:tRNA from 1 species